GUGUCAGCAGCCGCGGUAAUACGUAGGGUGCGAGCGUUGUCCGGAAUUAUUGGGCGUAAAGAGCUUGUAGGCGGUUUGUCGCGUCUGCUGUGAAAAUCCGGGGCUCAACCCCGGACUUGCAGUGGGUACGGGCAGACUAGAGUGUGGUAGGGGAGACUGGAAUUCCUGGUGUAGCGGUGAAAUGCGCAGAUAUCAGGAGGAACACCGAUGGCGAAGGCAGGUCUCUGGGCCACUACUGACGCUGAGAAGCGAAAGCAUGGGGAGCGAACAGGAUUAGAUACCCUUGUAGUCC
rnacentral:rRNA from 1 species